GGGUUUUGAUUUAGGUUAAGGUUGGAAUGACGACGGAGUUUGAAGUUUAAGGGUGGUGAAUCAGAAGUGGAGGGUGUCGGAGGUCACAGCGGAAGACGGCAGGGGUUGAUGGUUCGGAGUUCACAACGGAAGACGGCGGGGGGUUGUUGGUUCGUGGCCGGAAGAUUGAGGAGAGGUGCGGGUGAGUGUAGGUGGUGAUGAGUUUGAGUGGCUAUGAUGGUUCCGGCGAGGAUGAGAGGAAGAAGAUGAGUAUGGUGGUCGUGGAUUGCGGAAUGUGAGGGUGAAGGGUUUGUCGGCGAGGGAAGUGAUGGAGGGUAGCGGUGAAGGUUCACUGUGAUGGGUGCGAAUUGGGAUAGGGAUCAGAGUUGUGGGGAAGAAGAAGAUGGAAAUCAAAUGGAGAUGGUGGUCGUGGAU
rnacentral:lncRNA from 1 species